rnacentral:rRNA from 1 species
AGUGAACGCUGGCGGUAGGCCUAACACAUGCAAGUCGAACGGCAGCACAGUAAGAGCUUGCUCUUACGGGUGGCGAGUGGCGGACGGGUGAGGAAUACAUCGGAAUCUACUUUUUCGUGGGGGAUAACGUAGGGAAACUUACGCUAAUACCGCAUACGACCUACGGGUGAAAGCAGGGGAUCUUCGGACCUUGCGCGAUUGAAUGAGCCAAUGUCGGAUUAGCUAGUUGGCGGGGUAAAGGCCCACCAAGGCGACGAUCCGUAGCUGGUCUGAGAGGAUGAUCAGCCACACUGGAACUGAGACACUGUCCAGACUCCUACGGGAGGCAGCAGUGGGGAAUAUUGGACAAUGGGCGCAAGCCUGAUCCAGCCAUACCGCGUGGGUGAAGAAGGCCUUCGGGUUGUAAAGCCCUUUUGUUGGGAAAGAAAAGCAGCAGGUUAAUACCCCGCUGUUCUGACGGUACCCAAAGAAUAAGCACCGGCUAACUUCGU